UCAAGUUGUUAAGAGCACAUGGUGGAUGCCUGGGCAUCAGGAGCCGAUGAAGGACGUGGGAGGCCGCGAUAGUCCUCGGGGAGUUGUCAACCGAACUGUGAUCCGAGGGUGUCCGAAUGGGGAAACCCAGCACCCGUCAUGGGGUGUUACCCGUACCUGAAUUCAUAGGGUGCGUGGAGGGAACGUGGGGAAGUGAAACAUCUCAGUACCCACAGGAAGAGAAAACAACAGUGAUUCCGUGAGUAGUGGCGAGCGAAAGCGGAAGAGGCUAAACCGUGUCCGUGUCAAGCCGGCAGGUGUUGCGGAUGCGGGGUUGUGAGACGUGCUGUUCAUCUUCUGCCGAGGAUGGGACGGUCCAGUGUUUGUGUUAGCGGAACGACUCUGGGAUGGUCGGCCGUAGUGGGUGAGAGCCCCGUACGCGAAAGCAUGAGUCUGGUCGUGGGCAUUGUUCUCGAGUAGCAGCGAGCUCGUGGAAUUUGCUGUGAAUCUGGCGGGACCACCCGUCAAGCCUAAAUACUACCUGGUGACCGAUAGCGGACUAGUACCGUGAGGGAAAGGUGAAAAGUACCCCGGGAGGGGAGUGAAAUAGUACCUGAAACCGUGUGCUUACAAGCCGUCAGAGCCUGGAGCAGUCUUGUGCUGCAGGGUGAUGGCGUGCCUUUUGAAGAAUGAGCCUGCGAGUUAUGCUUCGUGGCGAGGUUAACCCGUUGUGGGGUAGCCGUAGCGAAAGCGAGUCCGAAUAGGGCGGUGGAGUCGCGGGGUGUAGACCCGAAGCGGAGUGAUCUACCCAUGGCCAGGGUGAAGCGUCGGUAAGACGUCGUGGAGGCCCGAACCCACCAGGGUUGAAAACCUGGGGGAUGAGCUGUGGGUAGGGGUGAAAGGCCAAUCAAACUUCGUGAUAGCUGGUUCUCCCCGAAAUGCAUUUAGGUGCAGCGUCGUGUGUUUCUCAUCGGAGGUAGAGCACUGGAUGGCCUAGGGGGCCGACAAGCUUACCGAAGUCAGCCAAACUCCGAAUGCCGGUGAGUGAGAGCGCGGCAGUGAGACUGCGGGGGAUAAGCUUCGUGGUCGAGAGGGAAACAGCCCAGAUCACCGGCUAAGGCCCCUAAGCGUGCGCUAAGUGGGAAAGGAUGUGGGAUCGCCCGGACAACCAGGAGGUUGGCUUAGAAGCAGCCACCCUUGAAAGAGUGCGUAAUAGCUCACUGGUCAAGUGGUCCUGCGCCGACAAUGUAGCGGGGCUCAAGCGCACCGCCGAAGCCGUGGCAAUGACACUGUUGUGUUGUUGGGUAGGGGAGCGUCCUGCAUCUGGUGAAGCCCGGGAGUGAUUUACGGGUGGAGGGUGUGGGAGUGAGAAUGCAGGCAUGAGUAGCGAAUGCAGAGUGAGAAUCUCUGCCGCCGGAUGACCAAGGGUUCCUGGGCCAGGUUGUUCCGCCCAGGGUGAGCCGGGACCUAAGGCGAGGCCGUCAGGCGUAGUCGAUGGACAACGGGUUGAUAUUCCCGUGCUCGUGAUAGUGCGUCCAUGCCGGGGCCGGUGAUGCUAACCAUCCGAACCCACCUUCGCUCCUUCGGGAGUGUUGUUUGUGGGGGAGCGUGGGAUCCGAUCCGGUAGUAGGCAAGUGAUGGGGUGACGCAGGAGGGUAGCUCCGCCACGCGGUGGUUGUCGUGGUGUAAGCCUGUAGCCCGAGUCCUAGGUAAAUCCGGGGCUCAUCAAGGGUGAGAGGUGAUGCGUAGCCGAUUGAGGCGAAGAGGGUGAUCCCAUGCUGUCGAGAAAAGCCUCUAGCGAGUGCUGUUGCGGCCCGUACCCCAAACCGACACAGGUGGUCAGGUAGAGAAUACCGAGGCGAUCGAGCGAACUGUGGUUAAGGAAUUCGGCAAAAUACCUCCGUAACUUCGGGAGAAGGAGGGCCAUCUGCCUUGAAGCCCCUUCGCGGGCUAGGGGUGGGUGGUCGCAGAGACCAGGCCCAAGCGACUGUUUACUAAAAACACAGGUCCGUGCGAAGUCGCAAGACGAUGUAUACGGACUGACGCCUGCCCGGUGCUGGAACGUUAAGAGGACCUGUUAGCUCCUUUGGGGGCGAAGCGGAGAAUUUAAGCGCCAGUAAACGGCGGUGGUAACUAUAACCAUCCUAAGGUAGCGAAAUUCCUUGUCGGGUAAGUUCCGACCUGCACGAAUGGCGUAACGACUUGGGCGCUGUCUCGACCACAGACUCGGCGAAAUUGCAUUACGAGUAAAGAUGCUCGUUACGCGCGGCAGGACGGAAAGACCCCGGGACCUUUACUA
rnacentral:rRNA from 1 species